rnacentral:misc_RNA from 1 species
GGAAGGAUCAUUACAAAUCAUGGUGGUGGGGUUGGGUUGGGGAGGUGGUGGGAGCGGGAUGGUGGGUGAGUAGGCGUCGUCAUUGGCGUCAACCCCCACACUGCCCUCAGCACCCCCCAUCCAGCCGCUGCUCACAUUUGCGCUUGUUGUGUAUGACAGAGUAACUGUGCGAAGAAAGAGACAACUUUUAACAAUGGAUCUCUUGGCUCUUGCAACGAUGAAGAACGCAGCAAAAUGCGAUACGUAGUGCGAUCUGCAUGAACCUGUGAGUCAUCGAGUCUUUGAACGCAACUUGCGCCACUCUGUGGCAUGUCUGUUUGAGCACCAUAUACCUCUGUCGCAAGACGAGUUGUCCAGUCGGUCGCUGGACUGAAUGUCGUGUGCAACUUCACGGGCGCGCUGUGGCGAACCGAGCUAGAGACCACUGGUCUUGUCGGGUAUCCACUAACCGCCUAAUGUCACCGGUCUCAAAUCAGGCAAGACUACCCGCUGAACUUAAGCAUAUCAGUAAGCGGAGGAAAAGAAACUAACAAGGAUUCCCUCAGUAAUGGCGAAUGAAGCGGGAACAGCUCAAAUUUGAAAUCUCGGUGGACAGCCCACCGCGAAUUGUAGUCUAAAGAAGGCGAUGCAGGCCGUGCAGCGGACCAAGUGCCUUGGGAUAGGCCGCCAGAGAGGGUGAGAGCCCCGUCAGUCCGUGCGCCGAGCCGAGUCAGAGCCUCUCAACGAGUCGAGUUGUUUGGGAAUGCAGCUCAAAGUAGGUGGUAAAUCUCAUCCAAGGCUAAAUACUGGCAAGAGACCGAUAGCGAACAAGUACCGUGAGGGAAAGAUGAAAAGCACCUUGAAAAGGGAGUUAAACAGUGCGUGAAAUUGUUAAAAGGGAAGCGAUUGAGAUCAGUGUUGGUCCCCGCUCAAGCCUCUGCUCCGGUGGGGGCGGCGGCGGGGUGCCGAGUCAAGGCCGGUUGUGGGCGCUGGACACGCGCCGCGGGAAGGUGGGGUCGUCCUUCGGGGCGGCUCUUUAUAGACCGCGGUGGCUGCAGCGCCGGCGACCGGAACGGACACGCAACGCGCUGCGCAGAGAGGCGCUCCCCGAUUGCCGGACUACAUGUAGACCGGCGUCGGGUGUGCUGACGGCGCAGCUCCUGCGUGAACCACUUGACAAAAUGGUCUUAAACGACCCGUCUUGAAACACGGACCAAGGAGUCUAACAAUGUUGCGAGCAUUAUGGUGGCAAACCAAGGUGCGCAAUGAAAGUGAAAGCCUGCGAGCUCCGGCGCAGCAGGGACCGGCCUGGCAGUAGCCUGACAGGACCGAGUAGGAGCAGGAUUGUUGGGACCCGAAAGGCGGUGAACUAUGCCUGACUAGGGCGAAGCCAGAGGAAACUCUGGUGGAGGCUCGUAGCCGUUCUGACGUGCAAAUCGAUGGUCAAAGUUGGGUAUAGGGGCGAAAGACUAAUCGAACCGCCUAGUAGCUGGUUCCCUC